rnacentral:rRNA from 1 species
GACGCACGCUGGCGGCGUGCCUAAUACAUGCAAGUCGAACGCAGGGGGGACGGGUGAGUAACACGUGGGUAACCUCCCAUCAGAGGGGAUAACACUUGGAAAGAGGUGCUAAAACGAUAAGGAUGGAUGGACACGAGGUGCAGUAGCUAGGUGGUGAGGUAACGGCUCACCAAGGCCACGACGCAUCGCUGACCGGAUAGGGGGACAGGCCACACUGGGACCAAGACACGGCCCCGACUCGUACGGGAGGCAGCAGUAGGGAGUCUGCGGCAAUGGACGAAAGUCUGACCGAGCAACGCCGCGUGUGUGAAGAAGGUUUUCGGAUCGUAAAGCUCUGUUGUUAGAGAAGCGUUAUUUAACCAGAAAGCCACGGCUAACUACGUGCCAGCAGCCGCGGUAAUAC